AUUUUGGACAAUGGGGGAAACCCUGAUCCAGCCAUCCCGCGUGUAUGAUGAAGGCCUUCGGGUUGUAAAGUACUUUUGGCAGAGAAGAAAAGGUAUCCCCUAAUACGGGAUACUGCUGACGGUAUCUGCAGAAUAAGCACCAGCUAACUAAGUGCCAGCAGCCGCGGUACUACGUAUGGUGCAAGCGUUAAUCGGAAUUACUGGGCGUAAAGAGUGUUUAGGAGGUUCGGAAAGAAAGAUGUUACAUCCCAUGGCUCAACCUUGGAACUGCAUUUUUAACUUCCGAGCUAGAGUAUGUCAGAGGGGGGUAGAAUUCCACGUGUAGCAGUGAAAUGCGUAGAUAUGUGGAGGAAUACCGAUGACGAAUGCAGCCCCCUGGGAUAAUACUGACGCUCAGACACGAAAGCGUGGGGAGCAAACAGG
rnacentral:rRNA from 1 species